GAAGGUGGCCUGUGAGGGUUGCUGGAGGUAUCAGAAGUGCGAAUGCUGACAUAAGUAACGAUAAAGCGGGUGAAAAGCCCGCUCGCCGGAAGACCAAGGGUUCCUGUCCAACGUUAAUCGGGGCAGGGUGAGUCGACCCCUAAGGCGAGGCCGAAAGGCGUAGUCGAUGGGAAACGGGUUAAUAUUCCCGUACUUGGUGUUACUGCGAAGGGGGGACGGAGAAGGCUAUGUUGGCCGGGCGACGGUUGUCCCGGUUUAAGCGUGUAGGUGUGUGUUCCAGGUAAAUCCGGUUCACUUUAACACUGAGGCGUGAUGACGAGGCACUACGGUGCUGAAGCAACAAAUGCCCUGCUUCCAGGAAAAGCCUCUAAGCAUCAGGUAACAUCAAAUCGUACCCCAAACCGACACAGGUGGUCAGGUAGAGAAUACCAAGGCGCUUGAGAGAACUCGGGUGAAGGAACUAGGCAAAAUGGUGCCGUAACUUCGGGAGAAGGCACGCUGACACGUAGGUGAAGUGAUUUACUCACGGAGCUGAAGUCAGUCGAAGAUACCAGCUGGCUGCAACUGUUUAUUAAAAACACAGCACUGUGCAAACACGAAAGUGGACGUAUACGGUGUGACGCCUGCCCGGUGCCGGAAGGUUAAUUGAUGGGGUCAGCGCAAGCGAAGCUCCUGAUCGAAGCCCCGGUAAACGGCGGCCGUAACUAUAACGGUCCUAAGGUAGCGAAAUUCCUUGUCGGGUAAGUUCCGACCUGCACGAAUGGCGUAAUGAUGGCCAGGCUGUCUCCACCCGAGACUCAGUGAAAUUGAACUCGCUGUGAAGAUGCAGUGUACCCGCGGCAAGACGGAAAGACCCCGUGAACCUUUACUAUAGCUUGACACUGAACAUUGAGCCUUGAUGUGUAGGAUAGGUGGGAGGCUUUGAAGUGUGGACGCCAGUCUGCAUGGAGCCGACCUUGAAAUACCACCCUUUAAUGUUUGAUGUUCUAACGUGGACCCGUGAUCCGGGUUGCGGACAGUGUCUGGUGGGUAGUUUGACUGGGGCGGUCUCCUCCUAAAGAGUAACGGAGGAGCACGAAGGUUGGCUAAUCCUGGUCGGACAUCAGGAGGUUAGUGCAAUGGCAUAAGCCAGCUUGACUGCGAGCGUGACGGCGCGAGCAGGUGCGAAAGCAGGUCAUAGUGAUCCGGUGGUUCUGAAUGGAAGGGCCAUCGCUCAACGGAUAAAAGGUACUCCGGGGAUAACAGGCUGAUACCGCCCAAGAGUUCAUAUCGACGGCGGUGUUUGGCACCUCGAUGUCGGCUCAUCACAUCCUGGGGCUGAAGUAGGUCCCAAGGGUAUGGCUGUUCGCCAUUUAAAGUGGUACGCGAGCUGGGUUUAGAACGUCGUGAGACAGUUCGGUCCCUAUCUGCCGUGGGCGCUGGAGAACUGAGGGGGGCUGCUCCUAGUACGAGAGGACCGGAGUGGACGCAUCACUGGUGUUCGGGUUGUCAUGCCAAUGGCACUGCCCGGUAGCUAAAUGCGGAAGAGAUAAGUGCUGAAAGCAUCUAAGCACGAAACUUGCCCCGAGAUGAGUUCUCCCUGAGACUUAAAGUCUCCUGAAGGAACGUUGAAGACGACGACGUUGAUAGGCCGGGUGUGUAAGCGCAGCGAUGCGUUGAGCUAACCGGUACUAAUGAACCGUGAGGCUUAACCUUACAACGCCGAAG
rnacentral:rRNA from 1 species